CGGGGAGGGAGGGAUCCCCGAGGCCGUCUGCGGGGAGCCGCGGGGUCAGGACGGCCGCCCGCAGGCCGCUGCCGGGGGGCUCGGUUUAGAGGCGGGAGAAAGGCACGUUACGGCAGCCUUCGCCAACUGAGGCGAAACAGCAGCACAACUUCAAAAGCCCUCAGUUUCCGAACAGUGGCUCUUUGUUUUCCAGCUGCCGUACCUGAGCGGCUCAGAUAUUUCCAGCACCUUUUCCGACGGGCGGCCAUCGGGCAGGGGCUCGCUCCGGGCACGCCGCGGGGCCGCGUCUAGCUGCCAGACGCCGCCGCGUUCAGUUCCAAAUGGUUAUCAAUUACGAUCCGAGCGAAGGGAGCGCGAACCUGAGCGAGAAGCCUCGCCCCGGGCUGGGGCACGGCGGGAGGAGACCGGGAGCCGCUCCGCGUCCUCCCUUCGGCGGGGAAGGGACGAGCCCGGGGCGCAGCCGGCAAUACAAAGGCUGCCCCGAGAGGAAGGCAAGCGGAGCCGCACGGCCUCGGGGCCCCCGGCGGCGGCGGGCACGCAUCGAUCACGCACCGCGAGGCCGCGUGCCCGGGGCUGAGCCCGCAGCCCGCACCGGGGACCGCCGGCGGGAGGCGGCCGUGGCCGUGCA
rnacentral:lncRNA from 1 species